CCUACGGGUGGCAGCAGUGAGGAAUAUUGGUCAAUGGACGAGAGUCUGAACCAGCCAAGUAGCGUGAAGGAUGACUGCCCUAUGGGUUGUAAACUUCUUUUAUAUGGGAAUAAAAUGUUCCACGUGUGGGCUUUUGUAUGUACCAUAUGAAUAAGGAUCGGCGAACUCCGUGCCAGCAGCCGCGGUAAUACGGAGGAUCCGAGCGUUAUCCGGCUUUAUUGGGUGUAAAGGGAGCGUAUGUGGAUUGUUAAGUCAGUUGUGAAAGUUUGCGGCUAAACCGUAAAAUUGCAGUUGAAACUGGCAGUAUUGAGUACAGUAGAGGUGGGCGGAAUUCGUGGUGUAGCGGUGAAAUGCUUAGAUAUCACGAAGAACUCCGAUGGCGAAGGCAGCUCACUGGACUGCAACUGACACUGAGGCUCGAAAGUGUGGGUAUCAAACAGGAUUAGAUACCCGGGUAGUC
rnacentral:rRNA from 1 species